rnacentral:rRNA from 1 species
GGGGUAGAGCACUGUUUCGGCUAGGGGGCCAUCCCGGCUUACCAACCCGAUGCAAACUGCGAAUACCGGAGAAUGUUAUCACGGGAGACACACGGCGGGUGCUAACGUCCGUCGUGAAGAGGGAAACAACCCAGACCGCCAGCUAAGGUCCCAAAGUCAUGGUUAAGUGGGAAACGAUGUGGGAAGGCCCAGACAGCCAGGAUGUUGGCUUAGAAGCAGCCAUCAUUUAAAGAAAGCGUAAUAGCUCACUGGUCGAGUCGGCCUGCGCGGAAGAUGUAACGGGGCUAAACCAUGCACCGAAGCUGCGGCAGCGACGCUGAUGCGUUGUUGGGUAGGGGAGCGUUCUGUAAGCCUGCGAAGGUGGCCUGUGAGGGUUGCUGGAGGUAUCAGAAGUGCGAAUGCUGACAUAAGUAACGAUAAAGCGGGUGAAAAGCCCGCUCGCCGGAAGACCAAGGGUUCCUGUCCAACGUUAAUCGGGGCAGGGUGAGUCGACCCCUAAGGCGAGGCCGAAAGGCGUAGUCGAUGGGAAACGGGUUAAUAUUCCCGUACUUGGUGUUACUGCGAAGGGGGGACGGAGAAGGCUAUGUUGGCCGGGCGACGGUUGUCCCGGUUUAAGCGUGUAGGUGUGUGUUCCAGGUAAAUCCGGUUCACUUUAACACUGAGGCGUGAUGACGAGGCACUACGGUGCUGAAGCAACAAAUGCCCUGCUUCCAGGAAAAGCCUCUAAGCAUCAGGUAACAUCAAAUCGUACCCCAAACCGACACAGGUGGUCAGGUAGAGAAUACCAAGGCGCUUGAGAGAACUCGGGUGAAGGAACUAGGCAAAAUGGUGCCGUAACUUCGGGAGAAGGCACGCUGACACGUAGGUGAAGUGAUUUACUCAUGGAGCUGAAGUCAGUCGAAGAUACCAGCUGGCUGCAACUGUUUAUUAAAAACACAGCACUGUGCAAACACGAAAGUGGACGUAUACGGUGUGACGCCUGCCCGGUGCCGGAAGGUUAAUUGAUGGGGUCAGCGCAAGCGAAGCUCCUGAUCGAAGCCCCGGUAAACGGCGGCCGUAACUAUAACGGUCCUAAGGUAGCGAAAUUCCUUGUCGGGUAAGUUCCGACCUGCACGAAUGGCGUAAUGAUGGCCAGGCUGUCUCCACCCGAGACUCAGUGAAAUUGAACUCGCUGUGAAGAUGCAGUGUACCCGCGGCAAGACGGAAAGACCCCGUGAACCUUUACUAUAGCUUGACACUGAACAUUGAGCCUUGAUGUGUAGGAUAGGUGGGAGGCUUUGAAGUGUGGACGCCAGUCUGCAUGGAGCCGACCUUGAAAUACCACCCUUUAAUGUUUGAUGUUCUAACGUGGACCCGUGAUCCGGGUUGCGGACAGUGUCUGGUGGGUAGUUUGACUGGGGCGGUCUCCUCCUAAAGAGUAACGGAGGAGCACGAAGGUUGGCUAAUCCUGGUCGGACAUCAGGAGGUUAGUGCAAUGGCAUAAGCCAGCUUGACUGCGAGCGUGACGGCGCGAGCAGGUGCGAAAGCAGGUCAUAGUGAUCCGGUGGUUCUGAAUGGAAGGGCCAUCGCUCAACGGAUAAAAGGUACUCCGGGGAUAACAGGCUGAUACCGCCCAAGAGUUCAUAUCGACGGCGGUGUUUGGCACCUCGAUGUCGGCUCAUCACAUCCUGGGGCUGAAGUAGGUCCCAAGGGUAUGGCUGUUCGCCAUUUAAAGUGGUACGCGAGCUGGGUUUAGAACGUCGUGAGACAGUUCGGUCCCUAUCUGCCGUGGGCGCUGGAGAACUGAGGGGGGCUGCUCCUAGUACGAGAGGACCGGAGUGGACGCAUCACUGGUGUUCGGGUUGUCAUGCCAAUGGCACUGCCCGGUAGCUAAAUGCGGAAGAGAUAAGUGCUGAAAGCAUCUAAGCACGAAACUUGCCCCGAGAUGAGUUCUCCCUGAGACUUUAGGUCUCCUGAAGGAACGUUGAAGACGACGACGUUGAUAGGCCGGGUGUGUAAGCGCAGCGAUGCGUUGAGCUAACCGGUACUAAUGAACCGUGAGGCUUAACCUUACA